GUCUCUGAUAGCUCAACUGGUAAAGCUUUCGGUACGUAACUAAAUGAUCCGGGUUCGAAUCCCGGCUGGACU
rnacentral:tRNA from 1 species